AACGAACGCUGGCGGCAUGCCUAACACAUGCAAGUCGAACGAGACCUUCGGGUCUAGUGGCGCACGGGUGCGUAACGCGUGGGAACCUGCCCUUAGGUUCGGAAUAACUCCCCGAAAGGGGUGCUAAUACCGGAUAAUGUCUUCGGACCAAAGAUUUAUCGCCUUUGGAUGGGCCCGCGUUGGAUUAGCUAGUUGGUAGGGUAAAAGCCUACCAAGGCGACGAUCCAUAGCUGGUCUGAGAGGAUGAUCAGCCACACUGGGACUGAGACACGGCCCAGACUCCUACGGGAGGCAGGAGUGGGGAAUAUUGGAAAAUGGGCGAAAGCCUGAACCAGCAAUGCCGCGUGAGUGAUGAAGGCCUUAGGGUUGGAAAGCUCUUUUACCCGGGAUGAUAAUGACAGUACCGGGAGAAUAAGCUCCGGCUAACUCCGUG
rnacentral:rRNA from 1 species